rnacentral:rRNA from 1 species
UCGGAAUCGCUAGUAAUCGCAAAUCAGAAUGUUGCGGUGAAUACGUUCCCGGGCCUUGUACACACCGCCCGUCACACCAUGGGAGUGGGUUGCACCAGAAGUAGAUAGCUUAACCUUCGGGAGGGCGUUUACCACGGUGUGAUUCAUGACUGGGGUGAAGUCGUAACAAGGUAACCCUAGGGGAACCUGGGGUUGGAUCACCUCCUUA